CGAGCAAGACACAAAUGUCGGAUUUUGAGUUCCACGGUACUGACUCAUUUAUCCACGGUACUGACAUGGUAACUUAAGAUAUUAAACAACAAGUGCAUCAAUUUUCCUCAGUUUGAUCAUAAACAUUAGAAUUUAUAAGGAAUGGACAUGACACGGUACUGACAUGGUAACUUAAGAUAUUAAACAACAAGUGCAUCAAUUUUCCUCAGUUUGAUCAUAAACAUUAGAAUUUAUAAGGAAUGGACAUGACACGGUACUGACAUUCAAGUGAUGUAGUAUAAGUUUUCUUUAAGUGGCAAGUUAUAUUGUAUAAAAAUAAUGUUUAAAUAUCUUAAGAAUUAUUCAAUUAACACAAAAUUUUUAUUAAUUGAUUAUUAAUUAAUGACUAGUACAAAAAAACA